GGGAGUAUUGCCAUCUUGGCAACGUUAAGUCUUCUGAUACAUGAACAUGGAUAUAUUUUCAUUUAUAUAGAUCUGUUCUUUAAUUUCUGUCAAUAAUG